CAGGGUCUAACGACUGCCCAAACCCAACCGUGAACUACUCCAAUAAUCAUAUGCUUCGGCGGGCCGCUCGCUGGGGGAGCCCCGGACCGCUUCGGCGGUGACCCGCCGCAGGCAUGCAAACCAAACCUUUUCCGAGACUGCUCUGAGAAAAUACUUUCUAAAUGAAAAUAAUCA
rnacentral:misc_RNA from 1 species